GACGAACGCUGGCGGCGUGCCUAAUACAUGCAAGUCGAACGCAGUGGGGACGGGUGAGGAACACGUGGGUAACUUCCCAUCAGAGGGGAUAACACUUGGAAACAGGUGCUAAAACAGAUACUGAUGGAUGGACCCGCGGUGCAUUAGCUAGGUGGUGAGGUAACGGCUCAACAAGGCCAAGAUGCAUAGCCGACCUGAGCGGGUGCUCUGCCACACUAGGACUGAGACACGGCCCAGACUCCUACGGGAGGCGGCAGUAGGGAAUCUUCGGCUAUGGACUGAAGUCUGACCGAGCAACGCCGCGUGAGUGAAGAAGGUUUUCGGAUCGUAAAACUCUGUUGUUAGAGAAGCGGUAUCUAACCAGAAAGCCACGGCUAACUACGUGCCAGCAGCCGCGGUAAUAC
rnacentral:rRNA from 1 species